GACGAACGCUGGCGGCGUGCCUAACACAUGCAAGUCGAGCGGAGUCAGUAAGAAGAAGUUUUCGGAUGGAAUCUUAUUGAUUUAGCGGCGGACGGGUGAGUAACGCGUGAGCGACCAACCUUGCACAGGGGGAUAACGGACCGAAAGGUUCACUAAUACCGCAUGAGACCACGAUGUUGCAUGACACAGAGGUCAAAGGAGCAAUGCGGUGCAAGACGGGCUCGCGUCCGAUUAGGUAGUUGGAGGGGUAACGGCCCACCAAGCCUAUGAUCGGUAGCCGACCUGAGAGGGUGAUCGGCCACAUUGGAACUGAGAUACGGUCCAAACUCCUACGGGAGGCAGCAGUGGGGAAUAUUGGGCAAUGGGGGAAACCCUGACCCAGCAACGCCGCGUGAAGGAAGAAGGUUUUCGGAUUGUAAACUUCUGUCCUUGGUGAAGAGAAGAAGACGGUAGCCAAGGAGGAAGCCCCGGCUAACUACGUGCCAGCCGCCGCCGUAA
rnacentral:rRNA from 1 species